rnacentral:misc_RNA from 1 species
GAUGAAGAACGCAGCGAAAUGCGAUAAGUAAUGUGAAUUGCAGAAUUCAGUGAAUCAUCGAAUCUUUGAACGCACAUUGCGCCCGCCAGUAUUCUGGCGGGCAUGCCUGUUCGAGCGUCAUUACAACCCUCAGGCCCCCGGGCCUGGCGUUGGGGAUCGGCGGAGCCCCCCGUGGGCACACGCCGUCCCCCAAAUGAAGUGGCGGUCCCGCCGCAGCUUCCAUCGCGUAGUAGCUAACACCUCGCGACUGGAGAGCGGCGCGGCCACGCCGUAAAACACCCAACUCUUCUGAAGUUGACCUCGAAUCAGGUAGGAAUACCCGCUGAACUUAAGCAUAUCAAUAAGCGGAGGA